GACGAACGCUGGCGGCGUGCUUAAUACAUGCAAGUCGAACGGACAGGCUCCAGCUUUCUUGGUCACACGAGUGGCGAACGGGUGAGUAACACGUGGGUGACCUGCCCUUCUCUGCGGGAUAAACCUUGGAAACUGGGGCGAAUACCGGAUAGGAUCAUUUGAAGGGUAUUGUGGAGUAAAGAAUUUUCGGUUUGGGAUCGCUGCUCGGUCGAUCCGCUCCGUGGUGGAUUAUUGGUAUACUAACGGCGUGACGGGUAGCCGGCCUGUGAGGGUGGACGGCCACAUUGGGACUGAGAGACGGCCCAGAAGCCUACGGGAGGCAGCAGUGGGGAAUAUUGCACAAUGGGCGGAAGCCUGAUGCAGCGACGCCGCGUGCGGGAUGACGGCCUUCGGGUUGUAAACUCCUUUCUCCAUCGACGAAGGGUUUCUGACGGUAGAUGGUGAAGAAGCACCGGCUAACUACGUG
rnacentral:rRNA from 1 species